GGUAGCGUGGUUGAGUGGUCUAAAGCGCUGGUGUUAGGCACCAGACAUUUCGAUGGCGUGGGUUCGAAUCCCACCGCUGCCA
rnacentral:tRNA from 1 species